AUUGAACGCUGGCGGCAUGCCUUACACAUGCAAGUCGAACGGCAGCACGGGGGCGAACCCUGGUGGCGAGUGGCGAACGGGUGAGUAACACAUCGGAACGUGCCCAGUAGUGGGGGAGUAGCUCGGCGAAAGACCGGAUUAAUACCGCAUACGACCUGCGGGUGAAAGCGGGGGAGUCGCAAGACCUCGCGCUAUCGGAGCGGCCGAUGUCAGAUUAGGUUGUUGGUGGGGUAAAGGCCUACCAAGCCGACGAUCUGUAGCUGGUCUGAGAGGACGACCAGCCACACUGGGACUGAGACACGGCCCAGACUCCUACGGGAGGCAGCAGUGGGGAAUUUUGGACAAUGGGCGCAAGCCUGAUCCAGCCAUGCCGCGUGCGGGAAGAAGGCCUCGG
rnacentral:rRNA from 1 species